UAUGCACCUCUAUGCACAUAUCUAUGUGUGUACUCAAGUACACAAGACUCUUCCCCAAGGUUGUAUAUGCAGGAACAGUUGAUGAAACCACCAACCAAUGAGAGUACACAUGGAGGGACCCAUGGCUCUAGCUGCAUAUGUAGCAGAGGAUGGCACUGUCUGGUAUCAAUAGGAGGAGAAGCCCUUGGUCCUGUGAAGGCUUGAUUCCCCCAGUGAAGGGAAAUGCCAAAGCAUUGAGGUGGGAGGGGGUGUGUGGGAGUGAGAGCAUCUUCAUAGAAGGAGGGGGAGGGGGAGUGAGGAUGGGAGAGAGGAGAAAGGGGAUAACAUUUGAAAUGUAAACACAUAAGAUAUCCAUAAAAAAACACACACAUAUUUUUACAUCCAUCUUAAUUUAAUAUAAAUAAAAAAUUUUAAAAAUUAAAAAAAAAAAA
rnacentral:lncRNA from 1 species